CUCUGAUAAGCUAAUACGGUAGCAUUAGACUCUUAAUCUGAACACAAGUGAAUUCACCACACACUAUCAGAGG
rnacentral:tRNA from 1 species